AUUUUGCACCAUGUGAUAUGGAUAAUUUUUGAAAAAUUCAAAAAGUUUGGAUUUUAUUCCUAUCUUAUAAAAACUCCCCUGUUUUAACCCAAAAAAAAAUCCAGUCAUAAAAAAUAAUAUAUAUGGAAGACUUUUUUCUUUAAUGACUUUGAUUAUCAAGUUGACAUUUUUUUAAUUUUUUUUUAUUAAUUGGUUUUGAUUUUUGAUUUUUUUAAUAUUGAAAAUUU
rnacentral:lncRNA from 1 species